AGAGAGAGACAUGCGCGCAUAUCAAUAAGCGGAGGAAAAGAAACUAACAUAGGAUUCCCUCAGUAACGGCGAGUGAAGCGGGAAGAGCUCAAAUUUGAAAUCUUCAAGGUUCUACCUUGACGAAUUGUAGUUUAAAGAAGUGUUUUCUGUUGAAGUUUUGGUAAAAGUUCUUUGGAAUAGGACAUCAUAGAGGGUGAGAAUCCCGUAUUUGACCAUUACUUUCAGCGUUGUGAUACACUUUCAAAGAGUCGGAUUGUUUGGGAAUGCAGUCCAAAAUGGGUGGUAAAUUUCAUCUAAAGCUAAAUAUUGGCGAGAGACCGAUAGCGAACAAGUACCGUGAGGGAAAGAUGAAAAGAACUUUGAAAAGAGAGUUAAACAGUACGUGAAAUUGUCAAAAGGGAAGCGUUUGACACCAGUGUUGUUUUUCUGAAAAUCAAUUAAAAAGGAACUGAUUUAUGCUAGUUGUAUUAGACUUUAUCAGCUACUGCACUUUAGUUUUGAUCUUUUCUUUAAUGCACUUUUCAGUUAACAAGUCAACAUCAAUUUCUUUUGCUGUAAAAAGGGCAUUGAGGAAGGUGGCUUGAUAUUCGGCUUAAAGUGUUUAUAGCCUCUUGGCCUAUGCAAUCGGAGAGAUUGAGGUCUGCAGCGUAGAUCCUUCGGGGCUAGAUACAGUUAGAUGCUAAGUUAUAGCUUUUUAUAGACAACUUGUUGACUAUAAUUUAAUCAUUGUAGCUUACUCGCUUAUGGUUAUUUUACCUACGCUUAGGAUGUUGAACGCUUAGGAUGUUGAAGUCAUCGUAUCGCGCAUGCUCGAUCUAUACAUGACUCUGUGCAUAUCAAUAAGCGGAGGAAAAGUGGGCUAUUACCUACGCUUAGGAUGUUGACUGCAUAUCAAUAAGCGGAGGAAAAGGCGGCGGAGAGUAUUGGUGUGGGAGUACCUACGCUUAGGAUGUUGAAGUCAUCGUAUCGCGC
rnacentral:rRNA from 1 species